rnacentral:misc_RNA from 1 species
AACACUGUUAACCUGCGGUACCUGCGGAAGGAUCACUACAGAGUUGCAAAACUCCCUAAACCAUUGUGAACGUUACCUAAACCGUUGCUUCGGCGGGCGGCCCGGGUCCUUCCCGGCGCCCCUCGGCCCUCGCGGGCGCCCGCCGGAGGUAAACCAAACUAUUGCAUUGUAUGGCCUCUCUGAGUCUUCUGUACUGAAUAAGUCAAAACUUUUAACAACGGAUCUCAGAUCGGAAGAGCA